CCGGGACUCUUUACUGCUCAAACUCUCAUUAGAGAAGGGGGCGUGCGUGCGCGGGACGUCCAGAUAUACGGUAAUCGCGAACCGAGACUGACAGUCCCAUCUUUUUAAGACUAGCUAGUAGGCGUUUGAAAUCAGAGGGCAAACAUGUCGUGGCAGAGUUACGUGGAUAACCUGAUGUCGGACGGCUGCUGCCAGGACUCCGCCAUUGUUGGGUGCAGCUCGGACUCUAAAUACGUGUGGGCAGCGCAGGAGGGGGGCACAUUCGUAAACAUCACGCCCUCAGAAAUCGACGUCCUAGUAGGGAAAGACCGAGAAAGUUUCUUCACCAAUGGCCUGACCUUAGGUUCAAAGAAGUGCUCCGUUAUCCGAGACAGCCUCCUGGUCGACAGUGAUUGGACCAUGGACAUAAGGACGAAGAGUCAAGGAGGAGAGCCCACGUACAACGUCGCUGUCGGCAAAGCAGCCAAAGUCUUGGUUCUUGUAAUGGGCAAAGAAGGGGUCCACGGUGGCGGCCUGAAUAAGAAGGCAUAUUCAAUGGCAAAAUACUUGAGAGAUUCAGGGUUCUAGCUAUCAAGUAGUACAAUUUAGGAAAACAAAAAAAAAUAACAAGUUACCUACAUUCCCAAAAUAAGUUGUGAAGACCCCCCUCCCCCCUUUAAACACAUGUAAAGUUUUUGGACAUCUUAAUGGCAAAGAAGGCAUUGGUUAUUGUCAUGGGCAAGGAAGGCACCCAUGGAGGGCUGCUCAACAAGAAAGCGUAUCACAUGGCUGAACACCUGAGGAAAUCUGGAUACUAAGACACCUCCCAAUCCUAGCUGCUCAUUCUGCUAACCUUUCUAGAUGAGAUUUGCUCCAUCAUCUAAUGGUUUUCAACUCUACUUCCAUUUUUGUGCAACCCAAACCCUGUUUCUUUCUCGUAAAUGUCCAUUUAUUGUGUCCGGCCCCAUUUUGGCACUGCGAUCCCAUGACGCGUUUCAGACCAGACGCUAGCGUGAAGACUGGUUUCUGCUCAUUCGUGAACGUUUUUGGGACUGUAGUUGAAUACCAAGGGCUUGAGCUAAACUCAGACUCCCAGUCCUAGAUCAAAUCUGGGAACGGUGGACCGUAUGCACCUCUUCAAGACCACCGAAUGAACCCUAGUUAGGCUGGACAGCUUAUUUAGUGGUUUUGUCACAUUAAAUAUGGCGUCUGCACUAACAAACCUCAGUUUAGUUAAUCUUCCUCAACCCGAAGUGUGUCAGGAACUGUAAACGUGACACUUUCUGAAUUACAGAUUGAUGUUUUUCCCCCAAGGUCUGGAGUUAAGGCCUCAUUUAGUUGGCUUUACUCUUAAUUUUUGGGCUGCAGGUAGCGUUUUCCCGCCGAAUCAACCCCACAAUUGAAUGUUUAUUGACAUUCCGUCAUCGCACUUACUUUGCUAGCUUAUGUAAUAUAUAUUUAAUACAUUUUCAAGACGACUGCCAUUUCAGAUCAUGGCUAUCGGCGGUUUGGAGUAUAGUUUGACCAAUUUUUGUCACUUUUUGGGUUAUUUACGCACUACUAUAAACGCUAACCGAUAAAACACUAGCGUCUGAUCGCAGACUCCACAUCAACACUUGAAUCGAAUUAAACCUAUACUGUCAUGACUGUGGACUGAAUUGCCUUCGAGUCGUCAGCGAUACAACUGUCUCUCAAAACUUGUUGCUUCAUCAAGUCCAAAUGUUCAAGUGUGACACUCAUAAUGUGUGUCCUGUGCCAUAACGUAGAGAAUCUGUUGUCACUGAAUCAAACAUCUUCCCGAAUGAUUGUGGGGUUUUAGUAUCAGCUGGAGCUCUGGCAUUGUGGCUGAUCUGUACAGGUGACUCUGGUGGGUUUCUUUUUUUCCCUGUACUUUUUCACACAUCUUGGAUACAAUCUGAUUUCAUAUGCAUAAACUGAGAAAUGCCAUAAAUUAAUUUCACCACCUUGUUUACAGAUUAAAUAAACCUAUUCCAACCCA